GAGGUUAUAGCUCAGUGAUAGAGCACAUGCUUAGCAUGCACAAGGUCCUGGGUUCAAUUCUGGGUACCUUCU
rnacentral:tRNA from 1 species